GCUCAACCGUAGUAAGCUCUUGAAACUGGGAGACUUGAGUGCAGGAGAGGAGAGUGGAAUUCCUAGUGUAGCGGUGAAAUGCGUAGAUAUUAGGAGGAACACCAGUUGCGAAGGCGGCUCUCUGGACUGUAACUGACGCUGAGGCACGAAAGCGUGGGGAGCAAACAGGAUUAGAUACCCUGGUAGUCCACGCUGUAAACGAUGAGUACUAGGGGUC
rnacentral:rRNA from 1 species